rnacentral:rRNA from 1 species
GGUAGAGCACUGUUUCGGCAAGGGGGUCAUCCCGACUUACCAACCCGAUGCAAACUGCGAAUACCGGAGAAUGUUAUCACGGGAGACACACGGCGGGUGCUAACGUCCGUCGUGAAGAGGGAAACAACCCAGACCGCCAGCUAAGGUCCCAAAGUCAUGGUUAAGUGGGAAACGAUGUGGGAAGGCCCAGACAGCCAGGAUGUUGGCUUAGAAGCAGCCAUCAUUUAAAGAAAGCGUAAUAGCUCACUGGUCGAGUCGGCCUGCGCGGAAGAUGUAACGGGGCUAAACCAUGCACCGAAGCUGCGGCAGCGACGCUUAUGCGUUGUUGGGUAGGGGAGCGUUCUGUAAGCCUGUGAAGGUGUGCUGUGAGGCAUGCUGGAGGUAUCAGAAGUGCGAAUGCUGACAUAAGUAACGAUAAAGCGGGUGAAAAGCCCGCUCGCCGGAAGACCAAGGGUUCCUGUCCAACGUUAAUCGGGGCAGGGUGAGUCGACCCCUAAGGCGAGGCCGAAAGGCGUAGUCGAUGGGAAACAGGUUAAUAUUCCUGUACUUGGUGUUACUGCGAAGGGGGGACGGAGAAGGCUAUGUUGGCCGGGCGACGGUUGUCCCGGUUUAAGCGUGUAGGCUGGUUUUCCAGGCAAAUCCGGAAAAUCAAGGCUGAGGCGUGAUGACGAGGCACUACGGUGCUGAAGCAACAAAUGCCCUGCUUCCAGGAAAAGCCUCUAAGCAUCAGGUAACAUCAAAUCGUACCCCAAACCGACACAGGUGGUCAGGUAGAGAAUACCAAGGCGCUUGAGAGAACUCGGGUGAAGGAACUAGGCAAAAUGGUGCCGUAACUUCGGGAGAAGG